CUGUAUAUUCUGCCUCCUCUGGGGCCUAAUUUACACAUGUCUAUUUGUCUUUCUCUAAGUAACUGAGGAGAUCAGGGCUCAGCCCAGACUGAGUUUCCAGCCUCGGUGUGGGAAUGAACGGGGCUCACUCAUAGCUAAGGGAGUUCCAUAGCACACGGAACAAAGUGUUUCCUUCCUGAAUCAUUGACUCGUGGUGUCUUCGGGCUCUAACCAGAUGCAGAAGCCUGCACAGCUGCCCCACCUGCUCCCACAACUGCCUACCAGCUAAUCCCGACAAUAAUUCCCAUACUCUGUUUCUCACAGUGGUUCUGUUGCUCUGACUGAACCCUGACAGAUACUCUGUGCUUGUGCGGUUUACAUUCUGGAUAGACAGUAAACGGCUUAAUAAGUAAAUUCUAAAGUACGCUUAAUAGUGAAAGGUGCUAUGGAAAGAAAGAAAAUGAGAGAAGGGAAAGAGAGAGGGAAAGAGUAAGGGUAAUCUAGGGUGCCAUGGGGCUGGAGAUGGGGAGGCAGGUGCCCUAUUGAAUAAGAUGUCCCAAUGGGCCUAAUUGAGAAGGUAAGAUCUGAACAAAGCCUUGAACGAGGUGAGGGGUAGCCAAAGGAAAAUCUUUGAGAGCAGAAGAACAUAGAAUCCUCUCCCUAAGACAGGGGAGUGCCUAAAACAUUCCAGUGGCUUCAAGGAGCCAAUGUGACUGGAAAGGAGAGAGCCAAGAGGUGGACAGGAAGAUAUCAGGCUGAAACUGAAUCAAGGGGUGUGAUUUAUACAGCAGGGGUUGGCAAAUACCGGCCUAUGGACAAACCUAGCCCCUCUGCUUGUUUUUGUACAAGUCUUAUUGGCACACAGCCACGCUUGUUCAUUUACACAUCGUCUAUGGAUGCUUUCUGGCUAACAUGGCCAAGGUUGAGUAGUUGUGACAGAGACCAUAUGGCCUACACAGUCUGAAGUAUUUACUAAAAAAAUUUGUUGACCCCUGGUGUAGAGGCUCGGAGUGUUUUGCCUUUACUAUGAACAAAAUGCAAGCCAUCUCAUGUUUUGGGCAGAGGAGGGCCACACUCUAGUUUAUCUUAUACAUGAAUCACCCAUACUGCUGUGUUGAGAGCAGACUCUGGGGGGCAAGGGUGCCAGGUUAGAAGCAGGGAGACCCAUUAGGAAGCUAUCAUGGCAUCCAAGCCAGAGAGGAUGCUGGCUCGGGCCAGAGUGGCAGCGGGGGAUGUGGUCGGAUUCUGAUUAUCUUUUGAAGCUUGAGCCAAACUGACAGAGUGGAUCUGGGUGUGGGAAAAUAAGGGAGUCAACAGUGUACAAUUACAACCCAUCUUAAGUGCUAGUAUAAAAGGUUUCCUCAGAGGUGCCUCAGGGACCAGCAGGAGGGGAGCAUUGCCAAUCUCCCCGCCCAACUGGAGCAGGGCUGCUUUGUCUGUUUUGUGUAUUGGGCUUUCUAGUAACACCACUGUUCUCAACCUUGGCUGCAUGUGAACUCUGGGGAGCUUUACAAGGUACUGAUGCCUGGGUCCCACCCCUAAAAUUCUUGUUUAAUUGGUUUGGGUUUCGACCCGAGCAUUAGGAUUCAUAAAAGCUCCCCAGACGAUUCUUCCAUAAGCCAAAGUUGAGAACCACUGCUCUAAUAUUUUCUUUGAAUAAACUUCCCAUCCCGUCAGAUGAUGGAAAAGGACUGGUUUGGGAUCUAGAUGUGUGUGGUGGAACUUUGUUUUUUUAAUUUUCAUCUUCCCAGCAGUUAGUACCUUCAUGAUCCCAUCUUAAUUUGCUGGGAAGGAAUUUCUUCUCCCUUUGUUCAUAGCCCUGGUAGAAACGGUGACUGUCCCCCAUCAACCCCCUACCCUCCACCAUCAAAGUGAAUUUUCUGGGUCUCUUCUCUCCUUUUCCCUGGUACAGCCACAUGGCAGCUGUCUGACUUGAGCUCAAGCAGUGGGACACAACCCAGAGAUGGUUGCAGGUGACUCGUUGCAGCAAUGGCCGAAAUGCUCUCCGGGAUUUUCUACCAUGAAACGAUUGCUGAGUAUUGUUCCCAGCAUCUUGGCCCUCAGAGCUCCCUUGGUUCUUUCAAUCCAUUCCCAAACCUGGUGCCUUGGCCUCUGGUACCCUGUCAGUCUCCUUUCCACUACCCUAUAUCAUGUUGGUAAAUUGCCUAUUGCUUAAGUUAGUUUUUGCUUGCAUCCAAGAACCCUAUGGUCACAGAAGGCCUGCGUGGUAUUCUUUGCUCUAUUUGUAUCAUGACAUUAUUCCAGUCUAUUCAUUUGGCAACUGUACACUGUGAUUUCUUUGUUGGAAAAGAGCAAACAAGAAUAACAAUCUAUUGAACUAUGCUUACUCAAUGGGGAACAGACAAAUAUGAGUUGGUGCCAGAUCCUUUGGAGGUUGUAAUAAUCAUUUAUAAAACUAAUAUAGCUAUCAAUAAUAACAACAAUUUAUUAAUCAUCCAUGUCUUGAUAGUACAAAAAUUCGACUUAAUAUUUCUACAGAUGCCAAGUCUUGGGUUGAAGUGUAUAUAUGUAAAAUCAUCAAAAUGGUGAGCUAACACAAUCCUAAUCUUUAAAAAAAAUUUUUUUUUUGAAUAGGGGAACCUGGGUGGCUCACUUGGUUGAGCGUCUGACUAUGACUCAGGUCAUGCAUGAUCACAGUUCGUGGGUUCGAGCCCUGCAUCCGGCUCUGUGCUGACCACUCAAAGCCUGGAGCCUGCUUUGGAUUCUGUGUCUCCCUCUCUUUCUGCCCCUCCCUUGCUUGUACUCUGCCCCUCUCUGUCUCUCAAAAAUGAAUAAAACACUAAAAAAAUUAAAAAAA